UACGUAGGGUGCAAGCGUUGUCCGGAAUUAUUGGGCGUAAAGAGCUCGUAGGCGGUCUGUCGCGUCUGCUGUGAAAACUCGGGGCUUAACCCCGGGCCUGCAGUGGUGACGGGCAGACUAGAGUGCGGUAGGGGAGACUGGAAUUCCUGGUGUAGCGGUGAAAUGCGCAGAUAUCAGGAGGAACACCGGUGGCGAAGGCGGGUCUCUGGGCCGUAACUGACGCUGAGGAGCGAAAGCAUGGGGAGCGAACAGG
rnacentral:rRNA from 1 species